rnacentral:rRNA from 1 species
AGAUUGAACUGAAGAGUUUGAUCCUGGCUCAGAUUGAACGCUGGCGGGAUGCUUUACACAUGCAAGUCGGACGGCAGCACGGGCUUCGGCCUGGUGGCGAGUGGCGAACGGGUGAGUAAUGUAUCGGAACGUGCCCAGUAGCGGGGGAUAACUACGCGAAAGCGUGGCUAAUACCGCAUACGCCCUACGGGGGAAAGCGGGGACCUUCGGGCCUCGCACUAUUGGAGCGGCCGAUAUCGGAUUAGCUAGUUGGUGGGGUAACGGCCUACCAAGGCGACGAUCCGUAGCUGGUUUGAGAGGACGACCAGCCACACUGGGACUGAGACACGGCCCAGACUCCUACGGGAGGCAGCAGUGGGGAAUUUUGGACAAUGGGGGCAACCCUGAUCCAGCCAUCCCGCGUGUGCGAUGAAGGCCUUCGGGUUGUAAAGCACUUUUGGCAGGAAAGAAACGGCACGGGCUAAUAUCCUGUGCAACUGACGGUACCUGCAGAAUAAGCACCGGCUAACUACGUGCCAGCAGCCGCGGUAAUACGUAGGGUGCAAGCGUUAAUCGGAAUUACUGGGCGUAAAGCGUGCGCAGGCGGUUCGGAAAGAAAGAUGUGAAAUCCCAGGGCUUAACCUUGGAACUGCAUUUUUAACUACCGGGCUAGAGUGUGUCAGAGGGAGGUGGAAUUCCGCGUGUAGCAGUGAAAUGCGUAGAUAUGCGGAGGAACACCGAUGGCGAAGGCAGCCUCCUGGGAUAACACUGACGCUCAUGCACGAAAGUGUGGGGAGCAAACAGGAUUAGAUACCCUGGUAGUCCACGCCCUAAACGAUGUCAACUAGCUGUUGGGGCCUUCGGGCCUUGGUAGCGCAGCUAACGCGUGAAGUUGACCGCCUGGGGAGUACGGUCGCAAGAUUAAAACUCAAAGGAAUUGACGGGGACCCGCACAAGCGGUGGAUGAUGUGGAUUAAUUCGAUGCAACGCGAAAAACCUUACCUACCCUUGACAUGUCUGGAAUCCCGAAGAGAUUUGGGAGUGCUCGCAAGAGAACCGGAACACAGGUGCUGCAUGGCUGUCGUCAGCUCGUGUCGUGAGAUGUUGGGUUAAGUCCCGCAACGAGCGCAACCCUUGUCAUUAGUUGCUACGAAAGGGCACUCUAAUGAGACUGCCGGUGACAAACCGGAGGAAGGUGGGGAUGACGUCAAGUCCUCAUGGCCCUUAUGGGUAGGGCUUCACACGUCAUACAAUGGUCGGGACAGAGGGUUGCCAACCCGCGAGGGGGAGCCAAUCCCAGAAACCCGGUCGUAGUCCGGAUCGCAGUCUGCAACUCGACUGCGUGAAGUCGGAAUCGCUAGUAAUCGCGGAUCAGCAUGUCGCGGUGAAUACGUUCCCGGGUCUUGUACACACCGCCCGUCACACCAUGGGAGUGGGUUUUACCAGAAGUAGUUAGCCUAACCGCAAGGGGGCGAUUACCACGGUAGGAUUCAUGACUGGGGUGAAGUCGUAACAAGGUAGCCGUAUCGGAAGGUGCGGCUGGAUCACCUCCUUU